rnacentral:rRNA from 1 species
AUUGAACGCUGGCGGCAGGCCUAACACAUGCAAGUCGAACGAGUGGCGGACGGGUGAGAAAUGUCUGGGAAACUGACCGAUGGGGGGGGAUAAAUAGUGGAAACGGUAGCUACUAGCGCAUACCAUCGGAUGUGCCCAGAUGUGAUUAGCUAGUGGGUGGGGUAAUGGCUUACCUGGGAGACGAGCCCUAGCUGGUCUGAGAGGGUGACCAGCCACACUGGAACUGAGACACGGUCCAGACUCCUACGGGAGGCAGCAGUGGGGAAUAUUGCACAAUGGGCGGAAGCCUGAUGCAGCCAUGCCGCGUGUAUGAAGAAGGCCUUCGGGUUGUAAAGUACUUUCAGCGGGGAUGCGUUACCCGCAGAAGAAGCACCGGCUAACUCCGUGCCAGCCGCCGCGGUAAUUC